UGGGAUUUAGCUCAGUUGGCAGAGCGUCCGUCUCCAAAACGGAAGGCCGCAGGUUCGAAGCCUGCAAUCCCAGCCA
rnacentral:tRNA from 1 species